rnacentral:rRNA from 7 species
CAAAUUCAGGUCAUUACAGUAGCAAAAGUGAUUCCUGCAGUAGCGGCGAGCGAAAUGGGAGCUGCCUAAACCGUGAAAACCGAGUUGUGGGAGAGCAAUACAAGCGUUGUGCUGCUAGGUGAAGCGGUUGAGUGCCGCACCCUGGAUGGCUAAAGUCCAGUAGCCGAAAGCAUCACUAGCUUACGCUCUGACCCCCAAUGAGUAGUGAAAUGGGGCACGUGGAAUCCUGUGUAAAUCAGCAAGGACCACCUUUCAAGGCUAAAUACUCCUGGGUGGCCGAUAGUGAAGUAGUACCGUGAGGGAAAGGUGAAAAGAACCCCCAAUGAGUAGUGAAAUGGAACGUGAAACCGUGCAGAGCUCCCAAGCAAUGGGAGGGGAAAGUGAUCUCUGACCGCGUGCUUGUUGAAGAACGA